UUUUAUGGAUAGAUUUGAAUAUUUGACUAUCUUUGAAAUACUCCCUCCGUCCCAAAUUAUAAAGGAAAAAAGCCCAUUUUUUUGUCCCAAAUUAUAAGAGAAAAAAUAUAAUUGUAACGCAAACUUUUUUUUUUUUUGCUGAUGUGUCAUCUCUACAAAAACUCUUAUGCUUAUGUGUCAUCUCUACAAAACUCAUAUUUUUUCAUAUACAUUGUCAUUGUAUAUACUCUUAUGUUUCCUUCAUGUUUGUAACUCCCAAAUAACUUUCUCAUUAAUUUUUAUGGCCUAAAUCAUAUGAAAAGUUGUAAAUUUUUUGAAACGGUACACUCUUUUAAUAUUAGUAAUCUUUUGCUAUUUUCCUAUCAAAAAAUCUUCUUAGCCUUUCAAUUCCCACAAAAAAUUAAAACAUGACAUUAAUUGACUAUAUAUAUAUGUGCCUUAUGAACAAUUUCUUGGUAGAUAUGAGUUUGUGGACUUUCAAUUUGAGAGGUGUGUGUAUUCCAGAAGGAGAAUAAUAAUCAAAGCUUUCUGAGGCGUGCAAAUAGAGUGGUCGAUUGCUACCGCAACAUAUAAAGGCUUUUUGAGGCGUGCAAAUGGAGUGGUUGAUUGCUACCGCAACAUAUAAAGGGUAACAUUUAAGCUUGAAGUGACAGAUGCAUGUUUGGAUACAAGUUAUGCCAUCGGGAACUUUAGUAAGCUGUCAUAAAAUUAAAAAAUAUA